rnacentral:rRNA from 1 species
UACGUAGGGUGCAAGCGUUAAUCGGAAUUACUGGGCGUAAAGCGUGCGCAGGCGGUUUUGUAAGUCUGUCGUGAAAUCCCCGGGCUCAACCUGGGAAUGGCGAUGAAGACUGCAAGGCUAGAAUCUGGCAGAGGGGGGUAGAAUUCCACGUGUAGCAGUGAAAUGCGUAGAGAUGUGGAGGAACACCGAUGGCGAAGGCAGCCCCCUGGGUCAAGAUUGACGCUCAUGCACGAAAGCGUGGGGAGCAAACAGGAUUAGAGUACCC